rnacentral:rRNA from 1 species
CAGCAGUCAAAAAUAUUAGUCAAUGCUCGAAAGAGUGAACUAGCUACUGAAUCAAUUAUAAUAAUUGAUAACAUAAGGGAAAAUAAUGAUAUUACCUUAUUAUUAGUGUCGUCCAAAACUGGUGCCAGAAGACUCGGUAAGGCCAGAGACACAAACGUUAAUCGUCUUAAUCAGGCGUAAAGGGUUUGUAGGCGGCUUUAAAAUUUACUAAAAAAAAAUAAUUAAAAUAAGUAAAGAAUAAAAGCUAGAAUCAAAUAGAGGAUAUAUGAAAGAAUGCUUAGAGUAGGUCUGAUAUCUUUAGAUACUAAGUAGAAUAUUAAAGGCGAAAGCUUUUUUCCAUUAAUGAUUGACGCUCAGAAACGAAGGUGAGGAUAGGAAAUAGGAUUAGAUACCCAGAAUACCCCUCUCUGUCAACGAUGAAUGGUAAUUAUUAGUAAAAAUUUUAUUAAUAGUAAUGUUAACACGAUAACCAUUCCGCCUUGUGAGUACAACUGCAAAGUUGAAAACAAAAAAAUUAGUCGGUUUCGGAGCAAACGAAGUGAAGCAUGUUAUUUAAUUCGAUAAUCCGCAAAAAGGGGAAC